CAGUACCCCAGGUUUGUUCUAUAACUUUCUUCACCCACUGAGCCAUCUUGCUAGCCCAGAGGUUCCCAGAGUUAGAUUAAAAGAAUUCCCAGGAGGGGUGGGUGGUGGGUAGAUGGUUCUGGAGCCUUUGGGUAAGGGAUGUGACUCAAGGACAGAGCAUCUGCUAAGACCUUAGUUCAGUCACCAGGACUAACAGUAAUUGAUAACUUGGUCAAUUUAACUGUGACUAGAAAAACAGAGACUGCGAGGCUGGGAGGCCAGGGAUACUCCUACUUCGUCAGCUUUUGGGCCCUUUACCCUUAAGAACACCCUUUGCAAAGAGAAGGCAAGAUGCCCAGAGUGCUGAGUGUUGGCAAGAGAUAACCUUUGUUUCACAGGCAUUCUCUUUUAUUUCUUCCCAUGGAUAAUCUUAUUUGAUCUUUGUAACAAAUCCAUAAAGAAACCUCAAUUUAAAAGGAUGCCAGUUAGGAUCCUAGCCCAUUUUUUCAUCACGCAGCAAGCCAAUCACCGAAGUGAGCUCUUUGAAAGAAAGUUUACCCGUAAGCAAGGAGAUGGAGUGAGAGCACGGAGGUGGGAGGCCAGGACUCACACCUGUCUCCCUGAGGAAGACACUUCGGGGGUUGAUUCCGGGAUAUUUGUGGAUAAAGAAGUAGGUGAUUUAAGGCAUGUGGACAGGGAGCUUUGUAAACCCCAGCACAUGUGUGAAGAUCAGAGGACAACCUUGUGGAAUCUGCUCUCUCCUGUCUUUGCCUGGGCUUCAGAAAUCCAACUCAGAAAUUCAACAAACCACCUUGACCUGCUGAGCCAUCUCUUCAGCCCUGAAUCCGAUUUUUACAAAUAUUCACUUUGUGUCAGUCCCUGUCGGGGUACUUUAUAUGCCUGGCUUGGUUCCACCAUCACCAUUCUGUAAAGUAGAAAGGUUUAGCUACAUGAUAUAGAAGAAGCGAUGUGUGUGUGUGUGUGUGUGUGUGUGUGUGUGUGUGUGUGUGUGUGUGUGAAGGGACUCACCAAGGCUGUAGUUUAGUCACAAGGCACUUGCCUGGUGUACAUGUUCGACUCCCAGCACAAAAGGUGAGGAGACUGAAUGUGCCACAGCUGAUGAGGCGUGGAACUGUGGUUGGAAACCCACAGAUGCCUCGAAGGUCCUGUGAUGUUAGGCUCAACUGUUAACAUGAUCUACAAUCACUGAGGAGAUGGGCUUCUAGAUAAGUCACUAAAGAUCCUCUAGAUAACAUUCAGAAGUGGGAGGACAUGUCCACUGUGGGUUGUACUGUUCCUUGACUGGUAUCCUGAACUGUACAAGAUGGAGAAGUCCAGCUGAGCAAUAGCAAACAGUAGUCACUGCUCUCUUCCCAGAGUCCAGUCACCUGAUAUUAUCAGGCCUCAAAUAAAUGUUUGCUAAGUAUUUUAGCCACCUUUCCCUUGCUGUGAUAAGACACUAUGACUAAGGCAAGUUAUGGAAGAGUUUAUUGGAGGCUUGCAGUCCAAACUCCUAGAGUCUAUGAUCGUCAUGGCAGGAAGCCAGCAGCAGGCAGGCAUAGCACUGGAGCAGUAGCUGAGGGUUUACAACUUGAUCUACUAGCACAAGGCAGAAAAAAACCUUAGGAUUGUGUGAGUCAGAUUCUGAACCCUCAAGGUUCACCCCCAACCUCCUCCAAUAAGGCCACACCCUUCCGAUCCUUUCCAAACUGUUCCACCAACUGGGGACUGAGUAUUGAAGUAUGAGUCUGUGGGAUCCGCUCUCAACAAACUACCACACUAAGUGAGAAAUGGCAAAGAGGAGGAAGAAAUAUUUAUCAGGCGCCUGCUCGUGUCAAGCCUUUACAGGACUUAUUAGCUCCUUGCUAUUGUCCCAUAUGCUAUCAUCGUGGUGGUUUGCAUGAGACUGUCCCCCCAUAGGCACAUAUAUCUCAGUACUUGGUCCCUAGUUGGUAUAACAGGGGAAGAGUGGGAUGUGUGGCCUUCUUGAAGAGGUGUGUCACUGGGGGUUUAAGCUUUCAAAAGCCCACACCAGACCCAGACUCUGCCUGCAGAUGAUGAAGUAAAGCUCUCAGCUACUAUCCCAGUGCCAUGUCUGUCUGCUUCCCACCGUGUUGAUGAUGGACUAACCCUCUAACACCGGAUUACAUGCUUUCUUUGAUAAGAAUUACCUUGGUCAUAGUAUCUCUUCUCAGCAAUAGAAUAAUAACUAAGACAGUCAUUAUCCCAUUUUGUUGACAAGAAAACUGAAACCAGAGAGGAAAUGAGAUUUUCUCAAAGACACACAGCUCUGGGCUGGACUUGAAAUACUGGUCCUUCUACUGUCACAAAAGUUUCUGUUCAUUCUUCUGUCCCUCACUCAAGGGUUGACCACAGUAUCACAGGAGGAGCUGUCAUGUGAAUCAUUCUUGGACAAAUAGAAACUUAGAGAGCAAAUAGUGUCUCCUGUGGACAACUCCCCUGUAGCCAGCCACUCCCAGACCGUCUCAAGCACACAUUCUCCAACCCAGCCAGACAUCUCUCCCCUGUCUUUCCUCAGACUCUAGUCCCAACUUCACCUGAUCUGUGGCCUGUGGAGACUCAGCUUUCUUGGUAGUGCUGUCCAGUGAGCAACCUAAUCACCAAGUUCCCAGAGGCCGGACCUAAACCCCAGGUUUAACCUCCUCGACAUACGCUGAAGACUGCAUAUGGGAGAUACAAUUCUCUUCCUCCAAAUCUUGUCUCUAAAUGACUUGCAUUUGUACUUAGUGUGACACAAAUUCUUUCAUGUAUACAAUUCUAGAUACAUUAAAGGCAUUUAAUUGCUAAUAAGUGAUCAUUAGCUUUUAUAUCUUAGUUACCCCUGCUUUAUAAUAAAUUAGUGACUCUUGUAAGAUUAGGCUUUUAUAAACUAAGGUAAUUUAUUCGUGUUAAGAUUUUGAGCUUUAAAUAUACAAUUUUUAAUCAAAGUUCUCUUGGUAUCAAAACAAACUUUAGAUCACAAAUACAGUCCAUGGAGAAACCAGAAAUCUUAUUCUUUUGACCCUUUUGUAGUAUACUUCUAAAUUAAUAGAAGCUUAAUUUAUCACAAAAAAAAAUAUAGUUGCAGAGAGAACAGCUUAAGCCUGGUUUUCACAAGGAGACAUUUAUAAAAACCGACCACAGUUUGGGUUCUGACUUAGUUUCCCCACAUGGUUAACGCUCAACAAGUUUAGCACAGGCGUAGAGAUGAGCCAUGGGUUUUCAAGCUGGUUUCGUUAUCAUGGGGAGAGCAUUAUAACCUUAGGAUUUCAUAGACGUCAGUCAUUCAAUGUGUCUCAUCCUUAAGUCCAUCCUCGUGGGAUGUACUCAGACGUUCUGCAACAGCCUAAAGCUGUCACGGUUUUGUCCUUAGGUUUCAUUGUUAGGAUAGAAUCUCAUUUCAUCAUGUGCAGUCGAUCUUCACCCAAAAUACAAUGAACCCCUUCUCUAAAAAAAAAAAAAGAACCUCAUACGUUACAACCAUUAGAAGCAUUUUCUCAUCCCUAUGUGCUGUUUCUUUCUCUUUCAUUUCCCUGAACGAGAGUCGAAGCCAUGCACAGAUGGCCUGUAGCAACCAAGACACCUGGACACACACUCCUGUCAACCUUUUGAAAUUGUAAGCUUUAAGAAAACGUUUUCCUCUGUUUGGAAUUUUACAGCCUUUUAACCUCCCCCGAUAUGGUUUCACAGUUUCUGAGAGGGAGACAAUUCCCAUUUCAGCAAGAGCUUCGGAGAUAUGCGUGACCCUGGAAUAGGGAAACAAUUUUUUUUUAUAAGACAAAGCAAGAGAGGGAGAGGUACUCAGAGCUAAAACAUGUAGUUAUAGAGACGACUUUUCUCUCCUGGGCUUUUCAAUCCCCCUGUCACGGAGUGAGGGGCCAGUCGACCCAGAACAAAGGCUUUGGAGGAAACCGUGAGACAAACAUGCUAGGGUCUGACGUAGGAAGGUCAAAUCUCAUCCCCAGAACCAGCUUCUCAGUGAACUAAACAAAAUGUUUGCUGGGUUCAGGCUGGAAGCUGAGAAAACUCACUUCAGAUAUGGAAACUUAAAAAUGAAAGCUCUAUUUUCUGCACUCAGGGAGGUGCCUGGCUCUGGAUCUGAACCUUGUCCGAGAAGAGAGAUUGUGCAACAUUUUUAAAAUGGAGCUGGGGGAGCCGCAGUGUUCUCCAAUGUAUUCUGGCAUUAAGGGAUAAGCAAGGGAGCACCCACGGGAGACUGGGCUGCAUCCACGGCUUCAUUCUUCAUUCUUCUAAACACUGGGUCUAGAGCUCAGAGUGAGAAGGGGACAAGGAGCUGGUCAACUGCACGUAGUCAAUUAGGGCAUAGCUGGCAAUUGUUUAUGUGAUUUUAUAAUGUAUGCACCUUGGUUUAGGUAACAGCACAUUCUAUAUUCUUUACCAAUUAACAGACAAGUAAGAAAACAUUUUGAGAAGUGGGUAGGUGUUUGUUUCCAAGGCCUGGAACAUGAACUUGUUUGAUCCUGCCAGCAACUCUGUCCUUGAGAUGGUUGGACUCAGACAACUGUUUGCAAGAGAAGUUGUCCAGCCACAGAGAAGUCCCCAGCUCCCCUAGGGCCUGAGCCCUUGAAUUUAUUUUCUCUCUAUGAUUAAAUGGAGUUUGAAAACGUAA
rnacentral:sRNA from 1 species